rnacentral:rRNA from 1 species
AACGAACGCUGGCGGCAUGCCUAACACAUGCAAGUCGAACGAGACCUUCGGGUCUAGUGGCGCACGGGUGCGUAACGCGUGGGAACCUGCCCUUAGGUUCGGAAUAACUCCCCGAAAGGGGUGCUAAUACCGGAUAAUGUCUUCGGACCAAAGAUUUAUCGCCUUUGGAUGGGCCCGCGUUGGAUUAGCUAGUUGGUAGGGUAAAAGCCUACCAAGGCGACGAUCCAUAGCUGGUCUGAGAGGAUGAUCAGCCACACUGGGACUGAGACACGGCCCAGACUCCUACGGGGGGCAGCAGUGGGGAAUAUUGGACAAUGGGCGAAAGCCUGCUCCAGCAAUGCCGCGUGAGUGAUGAAGGCCUGAGGGUUGUAAAGCUCUUUUACCCGGGAUGAUAAUGACAGUACCGGGAGAAUAAGCUCCGGCUAACUCCG